AAGAGCUGUAUAAACUCAACGUUGAGUAGUACAGAUUACAGAUUAAAUAACUAAUACCCCUAAACAUCGGUUUUUCGGUUUAACCGAAAACCGAAUUGCGUAAACCCUGAACCGCACCGAAAAACCGAAAAUUAAUAAUUUUAAAACCAUGAACCGACCUAAAAACCGAUCAAACCGAAACCGAAAAACCGUAUUUCACGAUUCGGCCCGUUUUUUCGGUUCAGUCGGUAUUAUGCCCACCCCUACUAUUUCCCCCCCAAACCAAUUGUAUGAGCCACCAUGAAGUGGGGGAUCCAGUAAAGAUAAAUCAUCAAUUAAUCUGGAAAAUUCCCUCGUAGCUCUAGUGUUUCUCGCAUUCCCUUUCUUUACUUUACUGCUUCAAAUCUGACCACAUUAAAAUCUCCAACAAUAACCCAUGGCUGUGAAAUCAAGCCAUAGAUUGCACCCAUCUCUUUCCACAAGCUCCUCCUUAUCUUCCGAUCACAAGGUGCAUAUACCCCUGUGAAUGUGCAGUCAAAGCCAGUAUUUUCCUCCUCCAUAAAAGUAGUAACAGAAUGUUUUUCGACAAUUUCUCCUUGAAUUUCCAUCUCCUUUUGUCCCAAUACACCACAAUUCUCCCACUAUUUCCUUGAGCCUCCAAUUCAACCCCAACUUGUUUAAUACCUUUCUGAGUGAGACCACUUAUCUUUGUUUCAAAAAGAUAAACAAUGUCUGCGUUCCAAUUUCUGAAAAGCAAAUCUACCAAGCUUCUUUUCUUUUUAUCAU
rnacentral:lncRNA from 1 species